GACGAACGCUGGCGGCGUGCCUAAUACAUGCAAGUCGAACGCAGUGGGGACGGGUGAUUAACACGUUGGUAACCUCCCAUCAGAGGGGAUAACACUUGGAAACAGGUGCUAAACCGAUACUGAUGGAUGAACCCGCGGUUCAUUAGCUAGUUGGUGAGGUAACGGCUCACCAAGGCCACGCUGCAUAGGCGCACUGAGAGGGGGAACGGCCAACAUGGGACUGAGCAACGGGCCAGACUCCAACGGGAGGCAGAAGUAGGGAAUCUUCGGCAAUGGACGAAAGUCUGACCGAGCAACGCCGCGUGAGUGAAGAAGGUUUUCGGAUCGUAAAACUCUGUUGUUAGAGAAGCGGUAUCUAACCAGAAAGCCACGGCUAACUACGUGCCAGCAGCCGCGGUAAUAC
rnacentral:rRNA from 1 species